rnacentral:rRNA from 1 species
AGUGAACGCUGGCGGUAGGCCUAACACAUGCAAGUCGAACGGCAGCACAGUAAGAGCUUGCUCUUACGGGUGGCGAGUGGCGGACGGGUGAGGAAUACAUCGGAAUCUACUUUUUCGUGGGGGUUAACGUAGGGAAACUUACGCUAAUACCGCAUACGACCUACGGGUGAAAGCAGGGGAUAUUCGGACCUUGCGGGAUUGAAUGAGCCGAUGUUGGAUUAGCUAGUUGGCGGGGUAAAGGCCCACCAAGUCGACGAUCCGUAGCCGGUGUGAGAGGAUGAUCGGCCACACUAGAGCUGGAACACGGACCAGACUCCUACGGGAGGCAGCAGUGGGGAAUAUUGGGCAAUGGGCGCAAGCCUGAUCCAGCCAUACCGCGUGGGUGAAGAAGGCCUUCGGGUUGUAAAGCCCUUUUGUUGGGAAAGAAAAGCAGCAGGUUAAUACCACGCUGUUCUGACGGUACCCAAAGAAUAAGCACCGGCUAACUUCGUG